AAGGCCUUCGGGUUGUAAAGCACUUUCAGCGAGGAGGAAGGUGGUGAGCUUAAUACGUUCAUCAAUUGACGUUACUCGCAGAAGAAGCACCGGCUAACUCCGUGCCAGCAGCCGCGGUAAUACGGAGGGUGCAAGCGUUAAUCGGAAUUACUGGGCGUAAAGCGCACGCAGGCGGUUUGUUAAGUCAGAUGUGAAAUCCCCGGGCUCAACCUGGGAACUGCAUUUGAAACUGGCAAGCUAGAGUCUCGUAGAGGGGGGUAGAAUUCCAGGUGUAGCGGUGAAAUGCGUAGAGAUCUGGAGGAAUACCGGUGGCGAAGGCGGCCCCCUGGACGAAGACUGACGCUCAGGUGCGAAAGCGUG
rnacentral:ncRNA from 1 species